UUAUUAAAUGGCCGCGGUAUAUUGACCGUGCAAAGGUAGCAUAAUCAUUAGUUUAUUAAUUGUAGACUUGUAUGAAUGGUUUAACGAAAUAUUAACUGUCUCAUAUUUAUAUUUAAAAUUUAAAUUUUUAGUUAAAAUGCUUAAAUUUUUUUAUAGGACGAGAAGACCCUAUAGAUCUUUAUUUAUAAAUUUAAUAUAUUUUUUGGUUUUUAUUUUUAUAUUAAUUUUGUUUAUUUUGUUGGGGUGACAUGAAUAUACAAUUAACUAUUUAUUAUAAAAAUCAAUUAUUUUUGUUUAUUUGACCUUUUAUUAUUGUUAUAAGACUUAGAUACCUUAGGGAUAACAGCGUAAUUCUUUUUGAGAGUUCAUAUCGACAAGGGAGAUUGCGACCUCGAUGUUGGAUUAAGAUUAUUAUUAGGUGCAGAUGCUUAAUUAUUAAGUCUGUUCGACUUUUAAAUUCUUACAUGAUCUGAGU
rnacentral:rRNA from 1 species